AGACCCGAAACCCGGUGAUCUAGCCAUGGGCAGGUUGAAGGUUGGGUAACACUAACUGGAGGACCGAACCGACUAAUGUUGAAAAAUUAGCGGAUGACCUGUGGCUGGGGGUGAAAGGCCAAUCAAACCGGGAGAUAGCUGGUUCUCCCCGAAAGCUAUUUAGGUAGCGCCUCGUGAAUUCAUCUCCGGGGGUAGAGCACUGUUUCGGCUAGGGGGCCAUCCCGGCUUACCAACCCGAUGCAAACUGCGAAUACCGGAGAAUGUUAUCACGGGAGACACACGGCGGGUGCUAACGUCCGUCGUGAAGAGGGAAACAACCCAGACCGCCAGCUAAGGUCCCAAAGUCAUGGUUAAGUGGGAAACGAUGUGGGAAGGCCCAGACAGCCAGGAUGUUGGCUUAGAAGCAGCCAUCAUUUAAAGAAAGCGUAAUAGCUCACUGGUCGAGUCGGCCUGCGCGGAAGAUGUAACGGGGCUAAACCAUGCACCGAAGCUGCGGCAGCGACGCUGAUGCGUUGUUGGGUAGGGGAGCGUUCUGUAAGCCUGCGAAGGUGGCCUGUGAGGGUUGCUGGAGGUAUCAGAAGUGCGAAUGCUGACAUAAGUAACGAUAAAGCGGGUGAAAAGCCCGCUCGCCGGAAGACCAAGGGUUCCUGUCCAACGUUAAUCGGGGCAGGGUGAGUCGACCCCUAAGGCGAGGCCGAAAGGCGUAGUCGAUGGGAAACGGGUUAAUAUUCCCGUACUUGGUGUUACUGCGAAGGGGGGACGGAGAAGGCUAUGUUGGCCGGGCGACGGUUGUCCCGGUUUAAGCGUGUAGGUGUGUGUUCCAGGUAAAUCCGGUUCACUUUAACACUGAGGCGUGACGACGAGGCACUACGGUGCUGAAGCAACAAAUGCCCUGCUUCCAGGAAAAGCCUCUAAGCAUCAGGUAACAUCAAAUCGUACCCCAAACCGACACAGGUGGUCAGGUAGAGAAUACCAAGGCGCUUGAGAGAACUCGGGUGAAGGAACUAGGCAAAAUGGUGCCGUAACUUCGGGAGAAGGCACGCUGACACGUAGGUGAAGUGAUUUACUCA
rnacentral:rRNA from 1 species